rnacentral:rRNA from 1 species
AUUGAACGCUGGCGGCAGGCCUAACACAUGCAAGUCGAACGAGUGGCGGACGGGUGAGUAAUGUCUGGGAAACUGCCUGAUGGCGGGGGAUAACUACUGGAAACGGUAGCUAAUACCGCAUACCAUCGGAUGUGCCCAGAUGGGAUUAGCUAGUAGGUGGGGUAAAGGCUCACCUAGGCGACGAUCCCUAGCUGGUCUGAGAGGAUGACCAUCCAAACUGUAACUGGUGAACGGGCCAGACUCCUACGGGAGGCCGAAGUGGGGAAUAUUGCACAAUGGGCGCAAGCCUGAUGCAGCCAUGCAGCGUGUAUGAAGAAGGCCGUCGGGUUGUAAAGUACUUUCAGCGGUGAGGCGUGACCCGCAGAAGAAGCACCGGCGAACUCCGUGCCAGCCGCCGCGGUAAUUC